AUUGAUCCUUGCCUUAGUUACUUUUCUCAUUGCUGAGACAAAAUACCCGACACCCAGAGUUAGAAGGGGAAAGGUUUAUUUGGCUCACGGUUCGUAGAGGUUUCAGUCCUUAAUCAGCUGGCUCCAAGGCAGGGUGGCCUGGCAGAGGGGGAACAGUUCAUGGCCAGCAAAAGACAGCAAAAGCAAACAAGCAAGGGAAGUUUAACAGCGUCUUUCUGCCCCUUUCACCCCACCCAGACUACCGGCACUAGGACAGCGUCCAACCAAUCAGUGCACUGGUUUAGUAAUCACGCGCCCUUAGUCCCAGCAUCACAGGCUCUAGAUUCAGCCACCUCUGAAAAGAACACCCAUGAGCGCAUGAGGCUUUGGAGGACGUCUAGACCCAAACCAUCACAACCGUCUUGCUCCGGGGGCUCAGGAGACUAGCUGUCAAAAAGGAGUCCCUAAGACGCAGAGGUCUAUGAGUUUAUGGAAAAGAAGAGGAAGGCCACACAAACAGAACACAGGCCCACAUGACGCGUGGGGAUGGACACGUGCCCAGUGGCGCCUGGGGAAGCUCUGGCAGGUGACUGGGUUGUCCUCCGUGGGGGUCCUCAAGUGGCGGACGCCCUAACAGCUCAACUGUCUGACCUAUGCCUGCCACAAGUGACUAAGGAUAAGGAAAUGCAAAAGAAAAGACAGAAAAGGAAAUAACAGCUCACCAAAGGAGUCUCAACUCUCGGUUGGGCCCCUAAGACAUUUCCACGGGUUGUGGGUCUGGGCAUGGGUUCCCUGGUCCUUGUGUGGGGUACAAAGAUUUGGAAGUAGCUUGUGACGGUAAGGAAAUGAGGGCAGAGUGCACUGAGGCCGCGGUAGUCAUCGGGUGGACUCAGAGCGGGAGGGCUCGCCCUCAGCCUCACUGCUUCCUGGCUGCCUUGGAUGAGCAGCUCCCCUCCGCCAUGCCAUCUCUGCCUUGGGGCCGGCGACCAUGGGCUGAAACCAUGAGGCAGAAGGAGCCCCUCUUCCUCGAAGCUGCGGGUGCUGGGUAUUUUGUCUCAGCGAUGAGAACGUGACCGAGGC
rnacentral:lncRNA from 1 species